UCUUUCUCAGGAUUGCACCUGGAGAGUUUCCAGUACUCUACCAGCUUCUGUUAUGGGAGGGAGAGUCAAGCAGAGGCCUACCCAUUUCAUUCCUAGCUUGGACGGUGACUAGCGAACGGAAGGCAAUCUGCUACAAAU